rnacentral:rRNA from 1 species
UACGUAGGUGGCAAGCGUUAUCCGGAAUUAUUGGGCGUAAAGAGCGCGCAGGUGGUUGAUUAAGUCUGAUGUGAAAGCCCACGGCUUAACCGUGGAGGGUCAUUGGAAACUGGUUGACUUGAGUGCAGAAGAGGGAAGUGGAAUUCCAUGUGUAGCGGUGAAAUGCGUAGAGAUAUGGAGGAACACCAGUGGCGAAGGCGGCUUCCUGGUCUGCAACUGACACUGAGGCGCGAAAGCGUGGGGAGCAAACAGG